GUCUGGAAGGGCCAUCAGCUGCUUGAAAGAGAUUAAGCAGACCUUACCUUCUUGAAGAAGGCUUCACAAGCUUUGGGGAUUAUUUGUAAAAAAUCUGCUGAACUCUUGCACCUUUGUCUUCUUGGAACUGGACACUUAAAUCAAUCAAGGAGUCAUCUGCAUCCUCACAUCAUCAUCCUCUUCAGUUUUGUGCCCUCCACAGGGUCUCUGCAAUGGAGUGGACCUUUACACCUAUCAAUAAUUAGCUGUUCUUCUUCCCACCAUGGGGAUUCCCUCCUCCUGUCUGCGAUGAAAGGGAUAUUCCCGGCCAAUCCCUGCAUAUAUCCUAGCUGGCCCAUUUCUCAGCCAAUUGGGAGGAGGUGUGGAAAGUCUGAAUAGCUGUCAAAAGUUUAUAAAAUGUCUUGUAUUUUAUUGUGAAGGUAUGCUUAUACAUUUUGAGCAUUGACGCAGUACUUGCAUCCCUUUUGGCCAAACUGUAAUAAACCUUGAUAGUAUGCCUUCAGACUCAGAGUGUUUUGUUCUACAUUCUGGCUGAUCUGGUUUAGUGGAAUCUUAUCAGAUAUGGACCAUCUUAUCUAUGGUCCUAGCUGAAAUCACUUCAGAUAGACUGUGAAUGCAUCCAUACCACAUCUGCACUACUUUGGAGUAGUGCUGGGCUGAAAUUAGACUAAACCUCCUGAGGUCACAAAUAGGGUUUUAGCGUUUCAAUUUCCAGGUAAGGUAAUUAGGAU
rnacentral:lncRNA from 11 species